rnacentral:precursor_RNA from 1 species
AAGGAACAAUGUCGCGGCGAUGUCGUCUGACGUCGCCGUCGUCGUCCGACC